GGUGCUUGCACCGGGGAUUAGUGGCGAACGGGUGAGUAACACGUGAGUAACCUGCCCUUGACUCUGGGAUAAGCCUGGGAAACCGGGUCUAAUACCGGAUACGACCUGUCACCGCAUGGUGGCGGGUGGAAAGAUUUAUUGGUUUUGGAUGGACUCGCGGCCUAUCAGCUUGUUGGUGAGGUAAUGGCUCACCAAGGCGACGACGGGUAGCCGGCCUGAGAGGGUGACCGGCCACACUGGGACUGAGACACGGCCCAGACUCCUACGGGAGGCAGCAGUGGGGAAUAUUGCACAAUGGGCGAAAGCCUGAUGCAGCGACGCCGCGUGAGGGAUGACGGCCUUCGGGUUGUAAACCUCUUUCAGCAGGGAAGAAGCGAAAGUGACGGUACCUGCAGAAGAAGCGCCGGCUAACUACGUGCCAGCAGCCGCGGUAAUACGUAGGGCGCAAGCGUUGUCCGGAAUUAUUGGGCGUAAAGAGCUCGUAGGCGGUUUGUCGCGUCUGCUGUGAAAGCCCGGGGCUCAACCCCGGGUCUGCAGUGGGUACGGGCAGACUAGAGUGCAGUAGGGGAGACUGGAAUUCCUGGUGUAGCGGUGAAAUGCGCAGAUAUCAGGAGGAACACCGAUGGCGAAGGCAGGUCUCUGGGCUGUAACUGACGCUGAGGAGCGAAAGCAUGGGGAGCGAACAGGAUUAGAUACCCUGGUAGUCCAUGCCGUAAACGUUGGGCACUAGGUGUGGGGGACAUUCCACGUUUUCCGCGCCGUAGCUAACGCAUUAAGUGCCCCGCCUGGGGAGUACGGCCGCAAGGCUAAAACUCAAAGGAAUUGACGGGGCCCGCACAAGCGGCGGAGCAUGCGGAUUAAUUCGAUGCAACGCGAAGAACCUUACCAAGGCUUGACAUGGACCGGACCGCCGCAGAAAUGCGGUUUCCCUUCGGGGCCGGUUUACAGGUGGUGCAUGGUUGUCGUCAGCUCGUGUCGUGAGAUGUUGGGUUAAGUCCCGCAACGAGCGCAACCCUCGUUCUAUGUUGCCAGCGCGUUAUGGCGGGGACUCAUAGGAGACUGCCGGGGUCAACUCGGAGGAAGGUGGGGACGACGUCAAAUCAUCAUGCCCCUUAUGUCUUGGGCUUCACGCAUGCUACAAUGGCCGGUACAAAGGGUUGCGAUACUGUGAGGUGGAGCUAAUCCCAAAAAGCCGGUCUCAGUUCGGAUUGAGGUCUGCAACUCGACCUCAUGAAGUCGGAGUCGCUAGUAAUCGCAGAUCAGCAACGCUGCGGUGAAUACGUUCCCGGGCCUUGUACACACCGCCCGUCAAGUCACGAAAGUUGGUAACACCCGAAGCCGGUGGCCUAACCCCUUGUGGGAGGGAGCCGUCGAAGGUGGGACCGGCGAUUGGG
rnacentral:rRNA from 1 species